rnacentral:misc_RNA from 1 species
AGGAGCUUAGCAUCUAUGAUGAAGAAAUCGGCAGUGCUAUAUCACUAUCCAUGCCCAGACGGUGCAUUCGCUGCAUUGGCAGCUCAUCUUUACUUCUGUGCUACUUCUCUCCCUGCCCUUUUCCUUCCCAAUACUGUCUACAAUCCCAUCAAGCUCGAACACCUUCCUAUCCAUGAAAUCGAUGAUCUUUAUCUUCUUGAUUUUGCUGGACCUUCUGGUUUUGUGCACCAAAUCUCCUCCAAAUUUAGCAGGUUUUCCAAAUUAGAUUCCUCUCAACUCUCCUUGUUUUUGUUUUUGUUCAAGUUAUUGCUCAUUUUUUGUCAUAUCCAGAGUGGUCAUAUUGGAUCACCACAAAACAGCAAAAGAGAUGCUCGGCGGCGAAACUUUAGUGGGUAAGAAUGUGAAUGCAGUUUUAGAUAUGGAAAGGAGUGGUGCUACGAUUGCGUAUGAUUAUUUCAAGGAGAAGCUUGUUGGGAAUCCUAAUCAGAAUAUCGUCUCUGAGUUCAGUCGUCUAAGGCCCAUUUUUGAAUACAUAGAAGAUGCAGAUCUUUGGAGGUGGAGACUUGAAAAUAGCAAAGCUUUUAGCAGUGGGUUGAAAGAUUUGAACCUUGAAUUCAAUGUCCGGUUAAACCCCUCUUUGUUUAAGCAGUUACUUUCUUUGGAUCUGGAGUCUGUCAUUGCUCAAGGGAUGAUGAGCUUAUCAGUCAAGGAAAAGUUAAUAAAUGACACCCUUGAUCAGUCAUAUGAAAUUGCACUUGGGGGUGGAGCUUUUGGACAUUGCCUGGUAUUAUGCAUGCUGUUAAUGCAGAUUCUUUACCAGAGUUAAGGAGUGAAUUGGGACACCAAUUGGCUAUCAAAAGCAGUGAUCAAAACCUGAGGGCAAUUGGAGCUGUUGUGUACAGAGUUCCAGGGCUUGAAAAUGACAAGCUGUUGAAAAUUAGCUUGAGGAGUUCGGUUAGUGAAGACACAACACCCAUCUCACAGGAAUUUGGUGGUGGUGGUCACCGAAAUGCCAGUUCAUUCAUGAUAAGUUUUGCAGAAUUUGAGAAGUGGAAAGUCGACAAACGUGCUUGAUUUUACAUAAUUUUCUGGCUUCUGGUUUCUUUUGUAACACUAAAGUACCCCAACUUCAAGUUUACUAACAUAAAAAUACUUCUUACUACAGUUGCUGAUUCUCUGGUAAAGUGAUGACGUAACUUUGACAGUUUGGAUUUAAACCUGUACCUUGUCUUGUCUCUCUUCUCCAUGCACUUAACCCUUCUUUCUCUUUCUCUCUCCUGCCAUUGGGUGUUACUCUCUCUCUCUCCAUUUUUCCCCCUUUUACCGCAAAUAAAGCUUGUUCUCAAUUAUGGUGCCAUCUCCUUUGCAUCAUGAGUGUUG